rnacentral:rRNA from 1 species
UACGAGGGGGGCAAAUGUUGUUCGGAAUCACUGGGCGUAAAGCGCGUGUAGGCGGCUCGGUAAGUCCGCUCUGAAAGUCCGGGGCUCAACCCCGGGAGGCGGGUGGAUACUGUCGAGCUCGAGUCCGGAAGAGGCGAGUGGAAUUCCUGGUGUAGCGGUGGAAUGCGCAGAUAUCAGGAGGAACACCAAUGGCGAAGGCAGCUCGCUGGGACGUGACUGACGCUGAGACGCGAAAGCGUGGGGAGCAAACAGG